CUUUUGGUGUGAUGAAUUCAUGAAAAUUUCACAUGUCAGACUUCAGAGAGAAUUAUUUUGUAAUUGUGUGAUUAGAUG